GGAGGAUGUUUCCAGUUUGGUAACUGGACCGGACUGUAAAUCCGAGAAAUGUCUCCAAAGGCAUUGCGGUUCGAUCCCGCCAUCCUCCGCCA
rnacentral:tRNA from 2 species